UACGAAGGGGGCUAGCGUUGCUCGGAAUCACUGGGCGUAAAGCGCACGUAGGCGGAUUGCUAAGUCAGGGGUGAAAUCCUGGAGCUCAACUCCAGAACUGCCUUUGAUACUGAGGAUCUUGAGUACGGGAGAGGUGAGUGGAACUGCGAGUGUAGAGGUGAAAUUCGUAGAUAUUCGCAAGAACACCAGUGGCGAAGGCGGCUCACUGGCCCGUAACUGACGCUGAGGCACGAAAGCGUGGGGAGCAAACAGGG
rnacentral:rRNA from 1 species